AGAGUUUGAUCAUGGCUCAGGAUGAACGCUAGCGGCAGGCUUAAUACAUGCAAGUCGAGGGGCAGCAGGGGUAGCAAUACCCGCUGGCGACCGGCAAACGGGUGCGGAACACGUACACAACCUUCCUUUAAGUGGGGAAUAGCCCAGAGAAAUUUGGAUUAAUACCCCGUAAUAUUAUUGAAUGGCAUCAUUUAAUAAUUAAGGCUCCGGCGCUUGAAGAUGGGUGUGCGUCUGAUUAGGUAGUUGGUAGGGGUAACGGCCCACCAAGCCAACGAUCAGUAACUGGUGUGAGAGCACGACCAGUCACACGGGCACUGAGACACGGGCCCGACUCCUACGGGAGGCAGCAGUAAGGAAUAUUGGUCAAUGGACGCAAGUCUGAACCAGCCAUGCCGCGUGAAGGAUGAAGGUCCUCUGGAUUGUAAACUUCUUUUAUGUGGGAAGAAAUGUCCGGAUUAUUCUGGAUUUGACGGUACCAUAGGAAUAAGCACCGGCUAACUCCGUGCCAGCAGCCGCGGUAAUACGGAGGGUGCGAGCGUUAUCCGGAUUCACUGGGUUUAAAGGGUGCGUAGGUGGGAAUGUAAGUCAGUGGUGAAAUCUCCGUGCUUAACAUGGAAACUGCCAUUGAUACUAUGUUUCUUGAAUUUUCCGGAGGUUAGCGGAAUAUGUCUGUAGCGGUGAAAUGCUUAGAUAUGACAUAGAACACCAAUUGCGAAGGCAGCUAACUACAGGGAUAUUGACACUGAGGCACGAAAGCGUGGGGAUCAAACAGGAUUAGAUACCCUAGUAGUCC
rnacentral:rRNA from 1 species